GGGCAGGUGACUGAACACUGGAGCCAGUGUCCCUGGGAGAUAGGGAAGUCCCUCCCCAUGAAGGGACCUAGGUUCUUUGUAUCCUCUCCUGUAGUCCUGGGCCAAUAACUGACUGCUUUAUGGAAAACACACACACACAAAACAAACAAACAAACAAAGAAACCACCUUGCAUUCAUGCCCCAAGACUGAGCAGACCCUGUGGUACAGUUUAUUCCCCAGAGGCCCCAUGGGAUCAAGCUGAAGCCCAGCUGCAUCGGAGACCACAUCCUUUUUCAUUUUUCUUUCCUCCCUUCCCAAUAUGGCUCCCACCGACCCCUACAUGUUUCUUGUGAGUGCACUCCAUUGAUAAAUGUCUUGCACAAACAUCCCCUUCUCAGGUUCUGCUCCAGGGAACUGUACCCAAGACACUACCAGCAUCUGUCCCUCAAUGCCACACACCUGUCAUCCCACACAUCAAAAGGAAUCCCACGUAAUAGGAUACAAGCACAACUGCAAACACACUCACUGCCCCCGCCCCCUCCAACAAGGAGACAAAUGAAAAGUCCAUCACUCAUCCAGAGAAGACUUUUUAGAGCCACUGUUCUUGGAGCCUGUUACCUCUGGGAGAAACUGCAACUGUAGCAGCAUUCCUUCCCCCCAGGAAUGUGACAAAGAUGAGCACCAUUCCAACACCUGUUGCUGAGGCACUUUCCAGGGGUCUAGCUGUGGAGGCCCCUACUCUUCUCUAGAGCAGGCACUUCAAUCUUCAGGCCAAAACUAAAAUGUCUGCAUGACCACACUGCCAGGUUGCCCAAGAUUGGCUGACUUUGUAUGCAUCCUGAUUAAAAAUGGCAUCUUGCUCUCUGGUCUGGGAAAAUGCUGUGGCUUUUCCCUGUGACUUUUCUUCACAGCGUCUCCAAACUUCUCCCCAAGUUAGUUCCAGGGCUUAGGAGAAAAAAAGUGCUCUCCCUCGGCCUGGGCUGCUCAGAUCCCCAGUGGAAAGGUGAAUCACAGAGGGAGCUUCUCUGCCUUUCUCACGCACUGGGAAUUCACUCACUUUUAUCUGCUGGAUGCUUGUAUGGGGGCUGUUGGGUUGCAUUUUCCUUCCUGGAAUCUGGGAUGUCCUUCAUGAUUCUGGUGGAAUCCUGUUUACCUUCUUGAAUUAAAGCUCACAGAAUUGAUCUUCAUGCUUUUCCAAAUGGCUGAGGCAUGGUAAAAACCUCUCUGAUCCACCAUCUUUGAAAAUAAGACUGUUUAAAAAGAAAUCCUUGCUUUUCUUUGUCUUAACAGAUGAUUGAAAAUUUAUUUAAAAAUAUAAUGCCAUAAUUUUGAGUUUAUAACAGGUACAAAUAUUUAAAAAAUGACAAAAUGGCAGGAGGAUAGAUAAAUAUCUGACAAGGUAGGUAAAUAGAAUUUUACUGUUGCAAGAUUUUAAAAUUUUAUAUUAAAUAGUAUACUGUGAGCUCUAAGGAGACUAUGAUAAGUUAGAGAUGCAUAUUGUAAUCUUUUAAGUACCACUAAAAUAGUAAAAAAUUCUAUUUAAAAUCAGAGGAAAGAACAUAGAAUAAUUUAAAAAUCAUACCAAAAUAAUUCAUGGUAGGAGUAACUAAAGAACAAAAAGAAAUGAGAAAGCAUAAAAAUGUAAAAUGGUAGUCUAGAGCCCAGUCAUAUUAAUAUUGACAUUAUGAACUCCUGAAUAAAUACUUCUAUUAAAAGGUACAUAUUAUGAGACUGGUU
rnacentral:lncRNA from 10 species